UACCAGCACCCCGAGUGGUCGGGACGUUUAUUGGGCCUAAAGCAUCCGUAGCCGGUUCUACAAGUCUUCCGUUAAAUCCAGCAGCUUAACAGAUGGGCUGCGGAAGAUACUAUGGAGCUAGGAGGCGGGAGAGGCAAGCGGUACUCGAUGGGUAGGGGUAAAAUCCGUUGAUCCAUUGAAGACCACCAGUGGCGAAGGCGGCUUGCCAGAACGCGCUCGACGGUGAGGGAUGAAAGCUGGGGGAGCAAACCGG
rnacentral:rRNA from 1 species